CCUACGGGAGGCAGCAGUGGGGAAUAUUGCACAAUGGGGGAAACCCUGAUGCAGCGACGCCGCGUGAGUGAAGAAGUAUUUCGGUAUGUAAAGCUCUAUCAGCAGGGAAGAAAAUGACGGUACCUGAUGAAGAAGCCCCGGCUAACUACGUGCCAGCAGCCGCGGUAAUACGUAGGGGGCAAGCGUUAUCCGGAUUUACUGGGUGUAAAGGGAGCGUAGACGGCAGCACAAGUCUGGAGUGAAAUGCCGGGGCUUAACCCCGGAACUGCUUUGGAAACUGUGCAGCUAGAGUGCAGGAGAGGUAAGCGGAAUUCCUAGUGUAGCGGUGAAAUGCGUAGAUAUUAGGAGGAACACCAGUGGCGAAGGCGGCUUACUGGAGUGGAACUGACGUUGAGGCUCGAAAGCGUGGGGAGCAAACAGGAUUAGAUACCCUGGUAGUC
rnacentral:rRNA from 1 species